UAGUGAUGAUACGGCCACGCUGAUUGAUAGUAAUUUAGACUGGGAUUUGCCGACUGCAAGCCCACCCUGGCCCUGACCAGGCCCUCGUCGUGCGCCCGAGCCUGGCCACCUACAGCGCCCGCGGGCAUCCCGUCCCCGCGGCUGCCUUCCCAAUGGCGAGCAGACAAGGCCGCGCCGCUCCGCAGCCCGGGCCACAGACUCUGUUUGUUCAACAAAGAAUUAUGGCUGGAUAUCAUCUCCCCUUCCCUUCCCCGCCCCCGCUCCUGGCUCAGUGGGAAGUCAGAGGAAAGAGAUAAAGAAACUGAGGCAAAUAGGGUUAAGUGACUUGUCAAGGAUUACACUGCAUCAGAUUUGAACUCUGAAAGAUUAAUCUUCCUGACUCCAUCUAGCUGCCCCAUGAAGUAUUAGCUCCAAGUCCUCAGACAGAGAUAGAACUUUGGCAGAAUAUUCAAUGUUCGUUUUUUCUCUCUUCCGGAAUUAAUUUACCCUCAAUUGCCUCCUUCCAAAAGAAUUUCCACUUCACAAGUCACAGUUGCUGCUUUUCAAGCUAAGUACUGAAAAUGGACUGCCACAUUAAUAAUACCUAAUUACUUCAAGUUGUACAGCAGAACAAGGUUGAAUUAAAGUCAUGGGAUGACAGAGUUAGAAGGGACCCUAAACCUUUGAACCCAGAGCCUCAGAGCUGGAAAAAGAGGCCCCAUCUACAACAUAAAGUGGUAGAACUUAUUACACAGAGGAUGGAGACCAGCAUGGACUUGAUCCAUCAUCUGGCCCAGUUCCUUCAUUCCACAGAAGAAAAAACAGAGGAGAAUGAAAAAAGAAGAAAUUUGCCUACAGUCACGUAAUGAGUCAUGGCCGGAGCAGAGACUUUCGGCCAUGAGUCCAGCAUUCUCUGCACUAUCUUCCCCACAUAUGGUUUUAUAACCCAAAUCCGUCGGAAUGAUUAUUUAACACAGUAACAAUGAAAUGCUUCCUGACACUUAUCUGCAAAGACACUGCUAUAAUUAAUUUCGCCUUUGCAAUGACUGAAAGAUUGGACAAUAAUUACAUGAGGAGAAGGUGAGUCAUCUAUAUUUGGAAGAAAAUUUAAAAGCCCUAUUUGCCUAUGAACUACAACAUGUCAUUAUUGUCCUGUCAAACAGCCUUGCUUUUGAUUAUGAUUUACAGUGGAACACCUGAAAUUGUUCCUCUUAUACAGGGGCCCCCAGAAAAACACUGUUAGGUUUGAGGCACUCUGGAGUGAGGACCCCCUCAAAACUAGAGUUUCUAAGCCCCUACCAAUGUAUUUAUUUCUAACAAUCAGCCAGAGUACACAUUAAUGGAAAAUAAAACACAUUUAAUGGGACAGUAUAGAAAUUAACAGAACAAGGAAAGAUCCCUUCAUUUCCACAAGGGGUACAUGCAUCCCUAUCCCUGCUUUACUGAUGAAGAAAUUGUCUUAAAAAGGUCAAGUGAUUUAACAGAAGUCAGUAAAUAAAAGACUGGCCUUAAAACCUA